AGGCUUCUCCACUAACCGCCUGUGUAAAAAUUACAGGUGGCACAAUAGUUGCAGCUCUUAACUUGAUAAAGGAACGUGGUGUUGACAAUAAGCAAAUUAAAGUGGUAGCUGCAGUUGCUGCUCCUCCUGCACUUCAGAAACUCAGCGAGAAAUUUCCUGGGCUUCAUGUAUAUGCUGGAAAUAUUGACCCCGCUUUAAAUGAUAAAGGGUUUAUAAUUCCUGGACUUGGAGAUGCAGGGGACCGUAGCUUUGGCACAUGAACUGAGAGAUACAAUAGUCUCUGGUGCAGUUUGGUUCUAGUUGCAUGUUCCUGCUUUGAACACUUGUGGAGAUGUAGUGAGUUUCCUUUAGGAGUUGAUUGAAUGGAUACUUGGAUCCGAUGUUGAAAAUCAUUCCUUGAACAGGCUGUCAGGGCCAUGGACUCGAAGAGGUAAACCGAUUUUCGGAAUGUCGAAAUGGGACUCCUGCUGUAUCGAUAGUAUGUUCAGUUUUAUUGUAGCCCCUUCUAAGUUUUAAAAGACUCAUCCACAGCGUAAAGUUAUAGUAUCAUAAUUCCGGAUUUGUUGUCUAGGUUUUUGAUCCACACUGCUUUAAAUGACUGGGAAGAAAAACAUCUUUUUCUUGAGCGUAUCUCGUA